rnacentral:rRNA from 1 species
GACAGAGGGUGCAAACGUUGUUCGGAAUUACUGGGCGUAAAGCGUGUGUAGGCGGCCGCGUAAGUCGGGUGUGAAAGCCCCAGGCUUAACCUGGGAAGUGCACUCGAAACUGCGUGGCUUGAGUAUCGGAGAGGUUGGUGGAAUUCUCGGUGUAGAGGUGAAAUUCGUAGAUAUCGAGAGGAACACCGGUGGCGAAGGCGGCCAACUGGACGAAUACUGACGCUGAGACACGAAAGCGUGGGGAGCAAACAGG